GCCGCUGUAGCUCAGCAGGUAGAGCACGUCAUUCGUAAUGACGGGGUAGCAGGUUCGAGUCCUGUCAGCGGCACCA
rnacentral:tRNA from 2 species